rnacentral:lncRNA from 1 species
AGGCUGUCAGUCUGCCAGUCAUUAAUCCAUGUUAAUCCUUUGGAAAGGAGGAUUGAGAUUCAGCGCGGCUCACUCCAAGAGGGGGGUCGGGAAAUCCAGCAGGCUUUAACUUCUGACUUGGAGCUUGACAAUUGGAGCAUCUGCAGCGCCAUCCGACUGGGAGUUUUCCCAAGUGAUCCGGCUUCCUGCAGCUCGGAGGGAACCUCGCUUCCAGGGUUAGGCAGGAGCUUCAGGCUGAGUCAGACACGGCACAGGAAGAACCAUUUGCUUCUAUCCCAGCUAAAAACCUGCAUUUUGAGAUGUGCCAUCCUGCCACUCCUGGGGCUCCACAGAAACUGGGCUGAAUGCAAAAACUCCCACAGAACUCAGGUUAAUAUAUUUCUCCUUUGUUUUACCAUAAUGAAUUAGUUAAAAUCAGGAGAGCUCUUCUGGGGGAAAUAUUCACUUUAUGUUCUACUUAGUUUUAAAAUACGAAAUCAUCUCUCAGUUCUCUCCUGUUUAUUGUUUCUUACAAAUGUAGAACAGCCUCUUACAGAACAUCCGUGCUGCAGUCUGAGGGAAUUUGCUUUUAUGCUCUUUAAAAACCAAGCAAGCACAAACUGCCACAAUAUUUAUGCACUUAAUCUAGAUGGGAGAUUUGUAUGUGAUGAUGCAAUGUGAAUUUUUAU